rnacentral:rRNA from 1 species
AGAGCGAACGCUGGCGGCAGGCUUAACACAUGCAAGUCGAGCGCUCGUAGCAAUACGAGAGCGGCAGACGGGAGAGUAACACGUGGGAACGUACCCUUUGGUUCGGAACAACACAGGGAAACUUGUGCUAAUACCGGAUAAGCCCUUACGGGGAAAGAUUUAUCGCCAAAGGAUCGGCCCGCGUCUGAUUAGCUAGUUGGUGGGGUAACGGCCCACAAGGCGACGAUCAGUAGCUGGUCUGAGAGGAUGACCAGCCUCAUUGGGACUGAGACACGGCCCAAACUCCUACGGGAGGCAGCAGUGGGGAAUAUUGGACAAUGGGCGCAAGCCUGAUCCAGCCAUGCCGCGUGGAUGAUGAAGGCCUUAGGGUUGUAAAGUCCUUUUAACGGGGAGAUAAUGACGGUACCGUAGAAUAAGCCCGGCUAACUACGUGCCAGCAGCCGC